UUUGCACACGCCAGAUAAGAAUCUUCCACAAUGGACGAAAGUCUGAUGGAGCAACGCCGCGUGAGUGAUGAAGGUUUUCGGAUCGUAAAACUCUGUUGUUAAAGAAGAACAAGUGUUAGAGUAACUGUUAACACUUUGACGGUAUUUAACCAGAAAGCCACGGCUAACUACGUGCCAGCAGCCGCGGUAAUACGUAGGUGGCAAGCGUUGUCCGGAUUUAUUGGGCGUAAAGCGAGCGCAGGCGGUUUUGUAAGUCUGCUGUGAAAGCCCUCAGCUCAACUGAGGAAGUGCAGUGGAAACUACAAAACUUGAGUACAGAAGAGGAAAGUGGAACUCCAUGUGUAGCGGUGAAAUGCGUAGAUAUAUGGAAGAACACCAGUGGCGAAGGCGGCUUUCUGGUCUGUUACUGACGCUGAGGCUCGAAAGCAUGGGUAGCGAACAGGAUUAGAUACCCUGGUAGUCCAUGCCGUAAACGAUGAAUACUAGGUGUUGGAGGGUUUCCGCCCUUCAGUGCCGCAGCUAACGCAUUAAGUAUUCCGCCUGGGGAGUACGACCGCAAGGUUGAAACUCAAAGGAAUUGACGGGGGCCCGCACAAGUGGUGGAGCAUGUGGUUUAAUUCGAUGCUACGCGAAGAACCUUACCAGCUCUUGACAUCUUCUGCCAACCCAAGAGAUUGGGCGUUCCCUUCGGGGACAGAAUGACAGGUGGUGCCAUGGUUGUCUCCCCUCUGGGGU
rnacentral:rRNA from 2 species